GACGAACGCUGGCGGCGUGGAUUAGGCAUGCAAGUCGGACGGUAGGGCUUUAUCGUAAGAUAGAGUUUGAGAGUGGCGAACGGGUGAGUAACACGUAGGAAUCUACCCUUAAGACGGGGACAACCCAGGGAAACUUGGGCUAAUACCGGAUGAGAGUGCGAGAGAUUGCAUUUAAAAGGAUGGCGAAAGUUGUCGCUUAGGGAUGAGCCUGCGGUCUAUUAGUUAGUUGGUGAGGUAAGAGCUCACCAAGGCGAUGAUAGAUAGGCGGCCUUAACGGGUGGUCGCCCACACUGGGAUUGAGAUACGGCCCAGACUCCUACGGGAGGCAGCAGUCGAGAAUAGUCUACAAUGGUCGGAAGACUGAUAGUGCGACGCCGCGUGAACGAUGAAUCCCUUCGGGGUGUAAAGUUCUUUUAUAUGUGAGCAGUGCUUCUUAUAUUAACAGUAUGGGGAAGAGAUAUUAGCAAUAUGAAUAAGCAACGGCUAACUCCGUGCCAGC
rnacentral:rRNA from 1 species